UGAUCCUUUUAAGCCGAGGAUCACCUAGCCAACUGACGUUGUUAGUGAAUAGAUUUUGUUCACAUUUUUAGCCAGCCGCCCUUUGCGACUGGCUUUUUUAUU
rnacentral:sRNA from 1 species